rnacentral:rRNA from 1 species
UGGGGAAUUGUUCGCAAUGGGCGCAAGCCUGACGACGCAACGCCGCGUGGAGGAUGAAGAUCUUCGGGUCGUAAACUCCUGUCGAGCGGGACGAACACUUAUCCGGUUAAUACUCGGGUAGGCUGACGGUACCGCUAAAGGAAGCCCCGGCUAACUCCGUGCCAGCAGCCGCGGUAAUACGGGGGGGGCAAGCGUUGUUCGGAAUUACUGGGCGUAAAGGGCUCGUAGGCGGCCAACUAAGUCGGACGUGAAAUCCCCAGGCUCAACCUGGGAACUGCGUCCGAUACUGGAUGGCUUGAAUCCGGGAGAGGGAUGCAGAAUUCCAGGUGUAGCGGUGAAAUGCGUAGAUAUCUGGAGGAAUACCGGUGGCGAAGGCGGCAUCCUGGACCGGCAUUGACGCUGAGGAGCGAAAGCCAGGGGAGCAAACGGGAUUAGAUACCCCGGUAGUCCUGGCCCUAAACGAUGAAUGCUUGGUGUAACGGGUAUCGAUCCCUGUUGUGCCGAAGCU